rnacentral:lncRNA from 1 species
ACACAAACGUGCGCGCACAUAUAUACACACACACGCGCACACUUACAUACACAUGACACUCACUCUCUCUGACAAUCAUACACACUUACUCUCUCUCACACUCACACACACGUGCAAAAACAUACAUGGAUAAAAAGCUUUAAAUCUAGCUACAGGGUCGGUUUACUAAUCGUGUAUUUCGGAACUAAAUGAGACGACGCUGACGACAACGUGUGAAUCGAAUUGUUGUUUACUUUAUCAUAAAGUUUAGGUUUUUUGGAAAAGAAACUUGCCUUUUCUUAGCGCGAAAGUAAACAUACGUAUUUCAGCAAAAGGUGGAGUCGGUUAAGUUGCCGACAACGAGAGAGAUCUGAUAAAACUUUAAAUUAUGCUAUAAGAAUUCUAUUUCAAAAAUGUAAAAAACAAACAUAUUUCCUCAGCGCUUCUUCUGUGUAUAAUAUACACGUAGCGGAAACCUGAGUAGAUUUUUUUAAAGAAAUAUAUAAUAAUUCAUAAACGAUAUAUAUAUAAUUAUUUCAUAAUGAUAAGCAGUAAAAGCAGAAUUUGACUAAACUUGCAAACGAAUGUUUGGAAUAAUAUAUUUUGUAGACAAAAUAAACUGCUGCUUUACGGAAAAGAGGAUUUCAGAGCUUAUAACUUUAAUCGCUUUUUUUUUUAGAAACUAAACACACCAUUUAUCAUAUUGUCCUUAAAAAUCUUUCCUACACAUGCUUCUGUGAAUUGUCUUUCUCUUUCUUAUCCUCUCUUCAAAACUUCGUACUAAAAUAAGUUCAGAAGCAAUCGAAAUUUUAUCAAGACUAUCUCCGUGAUUCUUAUAGACAAGCCCUACUACUAACUGACACAGUGAAGAACUCUUCAAAUAUUUAUAUAUAAAAAAUUUUGAAACUAAUACAAAACCUUAUAUAUAUAUAUAUAUAUAUAUACGUAUGUAUAUGUAUGUGUAUAUAAUACACAUUCACAGUUGCUACUAUUUGUACGGAAUUACCAACACUAAAGGAAGGAAAGCUUCUAUUUACUAAACAAUUGAGACUGCAUUCCUCCUUCUGAAACUGAUUUUCUGUUCCACGCUUUCGAAAUUAUUUGCCAGAUUUUGUUAACCACUUCCUUUCCAUUUAAAAAAAAUUUUUUUUGUUUUGACAUAUCUAUUUUUAGCAUGUAUCAGCUUUUUGUUUUAACUUCGACACGUUACUUUUACCGCUUCUCUAGACUGAAGAAACACUUUUCCUUUCUUUUUUAAAAACAUCUCCAAAUAAACAACGAGGCUGCUUGCUGGAGUAGAAAUACCGUUCUAACCACGUGACACACUUUCUGCUAAUUCUUCGAGAGUUUCUUUUGUUGUUGCUAUCCCUUUGUCUACUUUGGAGUCGUCUGGCUGCUACAUCUCGCCCAGUAAACAUGAGGGUCAAAUUUAUUUUAUUAUAACCAUUAGAAAAAAAACAAUUAUUCCAUCCUGCAGAUAUUAACAACAGAAUCUAGCCAGAACCUUUUCUGUAAGGUUUAUUUUACCCCUUUUUUUUCUUACCUUUCGAUACUUAGUGUGAACUUUUAAACAGUUCACUAGGAAUUAUUUGUACGGAAUUACCAACUUUGUGUUUCAAGGAGGGAAAGCUUCUGUUUACCAAGCAACCAGGGCUACACAUUUCAAGGUGCCAUCAUGACCUCGGUGUAUUGUGACAAUUCCAAAUCGGCCACAAUGACACAAUCUAAAGUUAAACAAUUUCCUCCCAGUUAUCAGAAUGGAUACAUGAACGUGGU